GCUGUUCCCUGGCACAGCUCCCGCUUGGAUUGGUGCUGGUUUGUGUUACAGCGCCGGGGUCAUCCCGACCAGAUCAUCUCUGCCGGUGCAGGGGAGCUGCGCGAAAGCAUCUGCACCUCCCGCAGAGCCUCCGGCGUGCUGGGUUCCAGCAGGACGCUCGGGGCUUUCCCGGCACAUCCCAUUAGGUGGCAAUGCAGCCUGUGCCUCGGAGCAGCCCCGCGGGAUGACGGCAGCCAGAAACGGCUUCAGGCCCCGUGGGGAAAGAAGGCUUCGGUGGCCAAGGCUCCUGGGUAUGUGGAAAAGGCUCUCAAAUCUGUGCUUUUAACUCUAUUUCGGACCCUGGGAUUCCCAUGCCCCUGGCUCUGAGGGCUCUGAGGUGCCCUGUAGCACAUGGUGGCUGUGGCCAUCCCUGGGCCACGCAGGUUCUCUUUGCAAGUGCUUUGGCCUCUGUGUCCACGCUGGUGUUCCCUGUUUGCCUUAUUCCGUGUUGUUUCCAAGGCAGAGAAAGCACCCAGGUGGCAUCGGGGCAAGAGGGGCACUGAGCAUCUUCUCUGGGCAGCUCCUGUUCCUCUCCCUGCCUUACAGACCAUCUCAGGCUCCUGCUCUCCAUCCUCUCAGCAGACUUUCCCAGGCCUACAGAGGAGACACCUGCAAUGCCCUUGGCCUCAAGCUCUUGCUCAAGAAAUGUGUGAGUAAAGAGCUCACCUGGCCGAGUGCUGGCCUUCAGCCAGGGGACUUUCCAGGAUGACCACUGGGCCAGACAGCAGGAUUGCUCAUGGACCUCAGCAUCACCUGUGGGAGUGCCCUGUGCGCUGGUGGAGAGGAGAUGCCUGAAUUUCAAACAGGAGUUGAGGUGAAAGCACAGGGCUGGAGGCUCCGUGGGUCCCCCGGCAGGGAUUAGGGGAGCACUGGACACUCCUCCCAGUCCCCACUGUGCGUGCUGGGUGCCCCCACGGGCAGCCCUGUGCUCCGUCCCCCCUUCUCCUGGGCUCCAGUGGGUCGUGCAUCCCAUGACCUGCCUCUCCCAUGUGUAACUGGGAUGUUAUCUGGAGACUGGAAAGCACUCGGGUCCAGACUUCGGAACAGAGCAGCGUUAAUGGCAGCCCAGCCGAGGGGAAUGAAGUAAUAUUAAAGUGUGAUAUUUCAUUGCUCUGUAAUUAACUUCAGCUGCUUUCAAGCUGCAACAAAUUACCCUCAAAGCCCGUUUUUGUACCGAGGAGAACUUUGAACUGCGUUACCAGCCCUGGUGUCUGGGAGGGAGCGGGGGGGCUGCUCCUGCUGUCUGUGGCUGCAGCUCCGUGUGUGGUUUGGGAUGCAAUGGUGUGGCCCAAACCAGCCCCAGGCCGGGUGUGCCCAAACAAAGGCAGAGGUUGUGUGUUGGGGCUGGAAUUAACCCCUGCAAGGGAGAGCCCCAGAGGUGGGAAACUACCACAGUGUCUCAGGAGAGCCUUCAGCUCCACCCUGCUUGUCUUUUCUGCUGGGAGAUAUCCUGGGGCACCCCCGGGAUUGCUGCAGCCAGAGGCGGGUGUGCCCCAUGUGGGGCCUCAAAGGCUUUGGGUACAUGUGACCAUUCCCAGGGCUUCCAAAAUGCUGUGUGCAACUUAAUGCAGGGCCUGAAACUUCAUCCAGCUUGUUGGAGAGAAAAUUCAGCUGAGCUGCAUGUUAGAAGCCAGCUGGUUCAGCAAAGACCUGGGGAUCCCAUCAUUUUCGGGAGCCACUGACGCCCUUGAGUGGCGCAAAACACAGCUCUGCGUUUCCCAGCAGGACCCCUCCUGCUUCAGCUCCCUAAAUACUUGGAGAAUACACUUAGCACUUGUUUGCAUUUACUUUGCAUCUUCUCUCUCCAGCAUGAGCCGUGGAGCUGGUCCCAUGCAGCCCAGGCCUGGGAAUGUGGCCCAGGCUCCUGCCACACGCCCGAUGGCGCUGCGGGAUUUCCAGGCACAGGGGCUGCCUGGGCUGGUGGUGCCAAGCCCUCCUCAUCCUGGAGAAGCUGCUCUGGAAGAGCAGGACUGCAGCAGCUUGUCUGGGAUGCCUCAACCAGGGGCAGCUUAAUUACCCUUGAUAAAUUCAUGAGAUCAUAAAACCAAAGGAAGAUGGGAAGUGUUCCUGCUCAGCCCUCGUUGCCGAUGGGAUGCAAGGCAGGCACACUUGGAACUGGUCUGAGCGGAUUAAGCUCAGCAUCCAGAGGAACUGCAGAGACAACAUGUGCUCUGAAGAGGUGGAGAGCAAUCUUCCCAGCUCUGCAGUGUUAUCCAGGGAUGUGCUCUUCCCUUUGGAGACCUCCAGGGCAACUGGGGGCUGGGGAGCUGUGGCACAGGUCCCACAUGUUUGCCAUGUGGGUCCCUUGCCCAUCUCUGGGGGAACUGAUUCUUCCUGGUCUCCGAGGAGAGGUCUCAGCAUUCUCCCAUGUCCUGGGGAAGGGCUGGCUGUCCCCUUGGAUGUGCUUGGGAGAGGAGGAGGGAACUGUGGCUGGUCUGGACCUCUCUGCCCCUCUUCAUGUGCCUACCAAGGGGAUGGUCAGAGGAGUUUGAAGAGCUGCUCUGUUUCUGUGGAUGAUGUUGGGGGAUGAAAAUCCCUGAUCUGGAUGUGUUAGAGAGGCAAGCAGACCUUCUACCCAAAUUCCCAGGGAGAAAGCCAGCAGCCCGGAUUCCACCGUGCCACCCUGCUCCUGCCUGUGAUGGCUCAGUCCCAGCCUGGGCCCCAGCAGCCCUGUUCCACCAGCUGCAGUGGGGUUCCAACCCCACUCCUGGGCGUGGCAUAGGAGGGGUCACAAGAAGCCUGAUCCAUGGGCAAGAGACUUAAAAAAAGAGAGGGAAGCUUCCACCUCUGUUUCCUGCCGUGCUGGUGGAGCAGUGCUGGAGCACAGCCUGGUGCCUCGGGCAGGAGAUGUGAAGCAGUGACACGUGGCUUAGCUUUAAUUACCCUUAAUUACCCAAACCCAUCCACCUGGGUCAAAAUCUGGGGCAGGUGCAUCCCAGUGGGACAAGGGAACAGAGAGACUGGGCAGUGCCCUGAUGGAGCUGCCCUUCCCAGGAAAGCCAUGUGGUUUGGAUCCCGCUGGGAGUGCUGCAGCCCCAGCCUUAUCACCUUCACUAGGCCAAGUGGAGUGAGUUAAUGAUGGGAUUCAUCACAAAGCAAUCCAAGGAGCAGCAGUGGAUCCAAGUGCUUUCCAUUCAGUGAUGCACAUCUAAACCUUAAUGGAAGCUGACAGCCUGACCCUGGGACCGUGCUCUGGCCAAAUACAAUCAGCCUGAUAGUUCCCUGGAGAAAGCAGCCAUGGCUUUAAUGUGUCUUCUCAAAACAUUUGUCUCACCAGCUUAAAAGGAGAAGCCCAACUUGCAGAGGUGCAGAGCUGGGGUUGUCUGACCUCCCCUCUCUUCCCCAGCUCUGCAGCGCACGGUGGUGCAGCUUGAAAAGCCUCAGCCUGGGAAUGUGCUGGAAUGGCUCAAUCCAGCAAGGAAAGCUCCACCAGCAUCCCCAAUCCUCUCCAGGCUGUGCUCUCAAGUCGGCAUCGCUGGUACCCAAGGGAAGAAUUAACAUACUGCAGGAGCAGAUGUUGGCAGGGAGACUCAGGUGGGAGAGGAUGAUGCUGUGGACACCUUCACUGCCUCUGCUCUCCUCUCCUCGGCACUCCAGGACCCAAACCUGGCAAAACUCACUCAUCAGCAUCAGAAGCAAAUGACUUGGAAACAGCCAGGUAAAACUGCAACUCUUUUGAUCUUUGGGGCUUUGUUUUGUUUGCCUGAUCUUACAGCUCCCUAACACUUUUGUGUUGGAAUCACAGCAGUUAUCAUAUCUUCCUUAUCACUGCUGCAGAGGAAAGCUAAAAGCAACCUGUUCCUCCAUAGCUUGUGCCACAAGGAUCCUCCAGAUCCACAAGGAUCCUGCCAAAACAGGUCUGACCAAAGCACUUCAGAGACCAGAUCUCUGUUGGAGUUCACUGCAGCACCUCCACAGCCCUCCCCGACCAGCCCCCUAUUCCCACUGUAGAUGGAGGACAGCAGGCACCCACUGGGGAGGAUGUUGGUGACAACUGGGAAGCCCUGAAAUCAGAGAGAUCCGUGGGGCAGGACCUUGUGUGUGACCCACCCCACAUGCCAAGACAGCGGGUGGAGUGGUCACUCUUCCCUCCCAGGGUCCUAUCCCCGCAUCCUGCUUGCUGUGAGCGAGCUGUCUGAAGGAACAGGAAUUGCUGCCAGGUUAGGAGGUAUUUCUCACCCCCAUGAAAACAAACAGGCUGAUUUGUUCCCAAUUUGCUCGUCCAUGGGAGCUGCAAAGCUUUGCCUGCGUGGGGUGGGAGCUGGGAGUUUGGCUCCGUUUGAUUGCGUGCUCUCCUGCCCCAGCUUCAAAGAUCUCUUUGCUUUUCCACUCCCUUUUAUGUCCCAUCUCUUGAAGUUCCAGUCCUGCACAAAGGCACAAACCCAGGACAGCUGAAGGCUUCCAAAUGCAAUUAUUUUCCAAAGCAUUUCAAUAAAUUAGCAGCUCGUUUCUUUGCCAGACAGCACUUCCCUUCCCAUUGACCCACGUCUGUGCAGCCUGCAGUGUGCCUUGGACCUUUAUCCUCCGGGAUGUCAGCCUGGGAGGACGGAGCUGGGCACUCUUAGCUGUGAUUCAGACCUGGACUGGGACUCCAGAAGGGUUGGCAUGAGCAUCUGCAGAUAUAUAUUUUUUUAAUAGCCAUUUAUUUAUUAAACUACUUUGGAGUCUGAUUCA